rnacentral:misc_RNA from 1 species
ACACUUCUGUCCCCUUCUCCUUGUCAGUUCAUGCCUGUCACCUCUGUCAAACCCAGUCGAAUGUUCUGUGACUGGUCCCUGCUGUGCUACAAGGAUUGGUUUUAUGCCAGAAAUCCUUGAGAUUAAGGGAGACGUAAGCACUCCUCUUUCCGAUCAGCACAUGGAGCACCCCUCUUGGCACACAGUUUGCAUUUUUUAAAGUUCUGCCUGGAGAUUAUGAAAUCCUCGCAACUCAUCCAACCUGGGCGUUGAAAGAGGCAAGCACCACAGUGCGUGUAACCAACUCCAAUGCCAAUGCGGCCAGUCCCCUCAUAGUUGCUGGCUACAAUGUGUCUGGCUCUGUCCGAAGUGAUGGGGAGCCCAUGAAAGGCGUGAAGUUUCUUCUCUUUUCUUCUUUAGUAACUAAAGAGGAUGUCCUGGGCUGCAAUGUCUCACCAGUGCCUGGGUUCCAGCCCCAAGACGAGAGUCUGGUGUAUUUGUGCUACACGGUCUCCAGAGAAGAUGGCUCGUUCUCUUUCUAUUCCUUGCCAAGUGGGGGCUACACUGUG